rnacentral:rRNA from 1 species
CCCCCAGAGUUAUAGAGCACGAGCCGGUUCCCAGCCCGAUAGCGAACAAGUAGAGUGAUCGAAAGAUGAAAAGAACUUUGAAAAGAGAGUUAAAAAGUACGUGAAAUUGUUGAAAGGGAAGCGCUUGUGACCAGACUUGGGCUUGGUUGAUCAUCCGGGGUUCUCCCCGGUGCACUCUUCCGGCUCAGGCCAGCAUCAGUUCGCCAUGGGGGAUAAAGGCUUCGGGAAUGUGGCUCUCUCCGGGGAGUGUUAUAGCCCGCUGCGUAAUAGCGUGGGCGGAAUGAGGUUCGCGCAUUCGCAAGGA